UACGAAGGGGGCUAGCGUUGCUCGGAAUCACUGGGCGUAAAGGGUGCGUAGGCGGGUCUUUAAGUCAGGGGUGAAAUCCUGGAGCUCAACUCCAGAACUGCCUUUGAUACUGAAGAUCUUGAGUCCGGAGAGGUGAGUGGAACUGCGAGUGUAGAGGUGAAAUUCGUAGAUAUUCGCAAGAACACCAGUGGCGAAGGCGGCUCACUGGCCCGGUACUGACGCUGAGGCACGAAAGCGUGGGGAGCAAACAGGG
rnacentral:rRNA from 1 species